ACACAUGCAAGUCGAGGGGCAGCAUCAUCAAAGCUUGCUUUGAUGGAUGGCGACCGGCGCACGGGUGAGUAACACGUAUCCAACCUGCCGACAACACUGGGAUAGCCUUUCGAAAGAAAGAUUAAUACCGGAUGGCAUAAUUAUUCCGCAUGGGAUAAUUAUUAAAGAAUUUCGGUUGUCGAUGGGGAUGCGUUCCAUUAGGCAGUUGGCGGGGUAACGGCCCACCAAACCUACGAUGGAUAGGGGUUCUGAGAGGAAGGUCCCCCACAUUGGAACUGAGACACGGUCCAAACUCCUACGGGAGGCAGCAGUGAGGAAUAUUGGUCAAUGGACGAGAGUCUGAACCAGCCAAGUAGCGUGAAGGAUGACUGCCCUAUGGGUUGUAAACUUCUUUUAUACGGGAAUAAAGUUAGCCACGUGUGGCUUUUUGUAUGUACCGUAUGAAUAAGGAUCGGCUAACUCCGUGCCAGCAGCCGCGGUAAUACGGAGGAUCCGAGCGUUAUCCGGAUUUAUUGGGUUUAAAGGGAGCGUAGGCGGGUUGUUAAGUCAGUUGUGAAAGUUUGCGGCUCAACCGUAAAAUUGCAGUUGAUACUGGCGACCUUGAGUGCAACAGAGGUAGGCGGAAUUCGUGGUGUAGCGGUGAAAUGCUUAGAUAUCACGAAGAACUCCGAUUGCGAAGGCAGCUUACUGGAUUGUAACUGACGC
rnacentral:rRNA from 1 species